AUAAUAACCUGAUAACUAAAAGAAGUCUAAUAAUAUGGCUCAAUAAAGAUGAUAUGUACCAUAUACAUCUUGAGAAAUCAAGACAAGUAUAUAAAGAAACUAUUAUGGAUGGUUAGCUAUAUAUUUCAAGAUAUUUAUAUCUAGGGAACAAUAUAAACUAGAAAUCAUAGAGAAAUCUAAUUAUAAGACAAAGUGAAUUGAAAUAUCUUAGUAACUUUAGUAAAAGAAAUCAAACGAGAUUGUUAUUUGGUGUCUUCUGAAUAGCAAAAGCCUUAAUAAAUAAUUACUAUAUUUACCAAAUAUAGGUUAUAAUUGUUUAUAGUAAAUAUACUAUUUAGUAUAUUUAAGUAUAACGGAAAAAAAUCUGUUGAAAAAUAGGGGAACCUUCCUCUAAGGCUAAAAAAAAUAUAUAAGCGAUAGAGUAACAGUACCGUGAGGGAAAUACCCUGAAAUAGUAGUUUUAUAAGCAGCUCAAGUUAAAAUUUAAAUAAAUAAUAAGAGCGUACCUUUUGCAUAAUGGGUCAGCAAGUUAAUUUUAGAUGCAAGUAACAUCUCUUUUAUAAGCAUUUACAUAUAGAACAUUAGACAUUAUGUCUAAUGAUAUUAUUUUAAUAUUGGUAUGUAAAUUUAUUAAUAAAAUUAGGAGGUAGAUACGCAGAUAAACCAAUUAUGAAAAAAUGAAUUAGUAUCUAGAAUUAGACCCGAAGGCUAGUGAUCUUACCAUGGUCAGGGUUAUAAAAGCCCGAACGGGUUAUCGUUGUAAAGAUAUCCGAUGAACUGUGGUAAGUUAGUGAAAGACAAAACUGACUAGUAUAGCUGGUUUUCCGCGAAACCUAUGUAAGUAGGUAAUUUAAUUAACAUCUUAGCAGGUACAGAACUGUGAUCUCGGACAAUAUCUAAGAUAUUUGUCAACAUCGGGGGGUUGUAGUGACUUUACCGGAGAGUAUUUGCACUCGGAAGGGCAAAGAUGAAUGUUAAAUAAUCGGACAUAGUGCGAUAAGGUUGUAUGUCUAAAGGGAAACAGCCCAGAACAAGAGUUAAGGUUCCAAAAUUAUUGUUAAGUGAAAUUAAGGAUGUUUUUUUUUAAAACAAUCAGGAAAUAGGCUUAGAAGCGGCCAUUUUUUGAAGACCUCGUAACAGAGCACUGAUUAAUAAAUUAGGAAAAAACGCCGAAAAUUUAACGGAUCUAAAUAAUAUACCGAAACCUUGUACACAAAUUAAAAUUAAAGCGCUGUGGCUUAGAUUAGAUGUUAAAUCUAAAUUUAAGCGCUGUGACUUAGGAUUUUUGUGGGGUAGCGGAACAUUGGAUUAAACAAAAUAUUAAUAUUUUUCUUAAAAUAUUAAAGAUCUUGCAUAAAGCUAUCUAAACUAAAUAUAUGAUUUAUUAUAUAUUGUGAUUGAUUAUUUAUUUAACUAUAGUUAAAUAAAAAAAGUUAGUAGUAGUAAAUAUUAUAUUACGAUUUAUGAGUAUCUGUUAAAUCCAAGAGAGAAUGCUGACAUGAGUAACGAAAAAGGCUUUUAGCCUCGCCUGAAGCUUAUGGUUUCAUCUAAAAUCGGUGUCUAAAAAAAUUAAUCAAAUGAUAAUUUUGAUGACGUUUUAUGCUUUUUUUAUAUGAUAAUACCAAAACCUUUAACAAGUAAUAAAGGUUCUGGAAAAGUUUAUUUUAUUAUUUGAAGUGGAAAAUAUUUAAUACUCAUACUUAUUGGUAUAAAAUUGUAAAUUAUAAUAUAUAAUACAUACUUAUUAUAAUAUUGUGAUUUACAAAUAUAAUAGAGUGAGUAAAAUAAUAAAUAUUUUUUAACCAAGUAAUAGUCUUUAUCUAUUAUAAUGAUAUUAAAGAUAAUAAUUAAUAAUUAAUUACCAUUAGAUUAUUAAUAUGUAUUUAUAGAUUAUAUAAUGAUUAUUAUAUAAAAUAUAUUUAUUAAAUGUUAUUAUUAAUAAUACUAUAAUAUAUAGAUUAAAGACAACUUUACACUGGUAAAAAAAAUAAAAGAAAAAAAACAAUAAAUAACCGUACCUAGAAACUAACUCAAGUAAGCAAGUAGAGAAUACAAAGGCGUUUGAGAGAACAAUCAUUAAGGAACUCGGCAAAUUGACUCUGUACCUUUGGAAUAAGGAGGACCAUUAUUAUUAAAUUUAACAUAUAGUAAAGUAUGAAAUUAAAUAUGAAAAAUUAAAUUAAUAAUAAGAGGAAUCAUGAAAUAAUGUUGUACGACUGUUUAAUAAAAACACAGCACUCUGCAAAGAUAAAAAAUCAAAGUAUUGAGUGUGAUGUCUGCCCAAUGUCGGCUGGGUAACGGAUCUACCUUGAUUAUUAACUGAGGUUUUGAAGGACACCCCGAUUAAUGGCGGCCUUACCUAUGAGGGUCCUAAGGUAGCGAAAUACCUUGGCCGUUAAAUGCGGUCCUGCAUGAAUGACUUAACGAUGCAACAGCUGUCUCGAUGAUUGUCUCAGUGAAAUUGGAAUAGCAGUGCAGAUACUGUUUACCUCUAGAUAGACGAGAAGACCCUAUGCAGCUUUACUGUUACUAAUUAUAGGAGUGAAAUUUUAGGAUGAUUUAUAGUGUAUAAGGUAGUUGUUUAGAUAAUAAUGAAACACCUUUAUUCGAAUCCUUAUAUAUACUCUUAAUGAUUAGAAGGCAGUUUAUGCGGGGCACAGAUCCCACAAAAAGUACCUGGGUAUAUCCAAAGUUCAUAUUGUAAACUUGUAUAUUUAUAUACAAAUAUUUUAAUUUGUUCUAAUUAUUAUUAUAAUUAUACAGUUAUUAUUCGAUUAAAUUCCACAAUUAUUUUUUAUUUUAAGUAAGAUUUUAACUAUGCGGUGAAUAGAUGUAUUUUAAACUUUACUGGACUUUGUUCUAAUUUUAGUUCAAAGAUUUAAAAGUUUAUUUGUUAUAUUAAUAAAGUAUUUAUCUUUAUUAAUAUAAUGUUUAUUAAUACUUUAAAAGUUUAAUGGCUAAAUCUUGCUUUACUGUUUGACCUACAAGUCUAUCAGUCGCGUAAGCGGGGCAUAUGAUCACAAGAUGCAUUAAGGAAAGGUCUUGGAUUAUAGAAAAAGUUACGCUAGGGAUUUAUAACUGUGAGUCCUCCAAUAUUAUAAAAUAUUGGUAAUAUAUUGGGUAAAUUUCAAAGACAACUUAUAUUAGUUAAGUGUAUUUGAAGCGAAACUUAUUUUAGCAUGUGUUUAUCUUUAAGAUAAAUUAAAAUAAGGACGUUCAACGACUAAAAGGUGAGUAUA
rnacentral:rRNA from 1 species